UCUAUUUCCUCUGUUGCUUAAGAAAGAACUUCCUCUGUAAUAUAAAUCAGCUUGAAGAUCAGUUUCUUCACACUUAAUUGUUACAUUUCCAACCCAAUCAACACCAGGAAAUGGGAGAAGCCUAAUCACUAGCAUUGGUUAACUUUAACAAUGCUGCUUCCAUUCCCUAGUUAUACUUCAGUAAAUAAUCUAAGCUCUAAACAUUCUGGAAGUGCUUCCUUUCGUUCAUUACCAAAAGUCUUUUUCGAAGCAUUCUGAACCCUUGGGCAUACAGCCUGCCAGGCAUUCCCUUCUCGCCAGAGCUUCAUGGCUGACAACUUAUUUUCCUCAAUUAGAUAUUUGGAUAUGAACUAUAUUCUGCGAGGAGGAGCCAAAUGAAUAACUUUCAAGAUUGAGCUGUCUAAAUUUCACUGCAUGAUUUCCGAAUGCACGUUGGGCUAGACCAUUUCAAAUGGCGUGAACCGCAUAUGACUAGACUAGACAGACAUGCACAAACAAAUUUUAGGGGGAUCUAGUAAAAAACAAAACAGCAUGCUCCCUUAGACCUAUUAUCACUCCUUCAACUGAGAAAUUCAGAUCAGCACUGAACCAGGAGUCUAUCUAAGGCUAAUGCACUAGGAAUUAAAAUGUUUGUUUUAUUCUAAGGUUCAGACUGGUCUUCAGAAUUAUAUAUCCAUAAAUAUGCACGUCUUAGUGUGGAAGUAAUUUUGCCCCCGCCCCCCGGUAUAGCUCAAAAGUGAAACGAAUAGAAUUUUUGAGAGAGCUUGCAAGUUGGUUAUUUUGUAAAUAGUUUGGAGGGAGGAUUCUCUUAAGAAUAAAGGGUGAGUUAAGAGAAUGUUAUUUAUUUUA